AUGAGUUGGAAUGUGCGAGGUCUAAAUUCCACCGCUAGACGGGCCACUGUGAGAGAAUUGGCCGCAAAAAAUAGCCUUGCUCUACUCUGCAUCCAAGAGACAAAGAUAGUGUCUUGGUCGUUGUCGCUAGUCAGGGAUAUUGGAGGAUAGAAGCUUGACCAGUGUGCGGUAUUGCCAGCGAUGGGUACAAGGGGAGGAGCUGCCAUCUUCUGGGACUCAGUUGUUGUCAGUGUUGCCACACACAGGAUCAGGCGAUUCUCAAUAACGGCAAGAGUCACUAUCCUAUCAAUAGGCUCAUGCUUCUGGUUGAUCACGGUCUACGGACCAGCGGAUGAGGUGAGGAAGGAUGAUUUCCUCUAGGAGCUUGUCGGCACUGCUCUGCCGCAGGGUCAACCAUGGUUGCUAAAUGGUGACUUCAACAUUAUAUAUGAGCCUCAUGACAAGAACAAUGACAACAUCAACAGAUGGACCAGGGCAAGUCCAGGGUUGCGAUUGAUCAUGCGGGGCUGCGAGAGAUCAAAUGCAAUAACAAGAGGUUCACAUGGAGCAACGAGAGGGAACGUCCAACAUUGGUGA
rnacentral:rRNA from 1 species